UUAGUUUUUAUUUUUUCUUGUGAACCAUAUAAUUAAGAAAUUCUUUGAUGUAUUCUUUAAGUUCUUCAGCUUUCUUCUUUUGUUUCCUUUUGUUUUCCUCUCAUAAUGAUAGAAUUAAUCACUAUGCAAGUCAUAUGACUAACACGGUAGUAUCAGUUAAGCUAACUAUCAUAUUCAUCAUCUAUUUUCAUACACAUGUUUAUCAUUACCUUCUUUUACAUAUUGUGUUUCAUUUAAUUUUUCUUUUUUCCUCCAAGCCAUAUGAUUAACAAAUUAUAGGUUAUGUUUCUUUUAGUUUUUCUUUUUUCUUGCAAGCCAUAUGAUUAAUAAAUUAUUUGUUGUAUUCUUUAAGUUGUUCAAUUUUCUUAUUUUUUUUCCAUUUAACUUCCCUCUCUUAAUGAGAGAAUUAAUCACUAUGCAGACCAUAUAAUUAACCUGGUAAUAUUAGUUAAAAUAGCUCUAAUAUUCAUCAUCUCUUUUCAUACACGUGUUUCUCAUCACCUUCUUU
rnacentral:lncRNA from 1 species